rnacentral:rRNA from 1 species
ACAGGGAUUGCCUCAGUAGCGGCGAGUGAAGCGGCAAGAGCUCAGAUUUGAAAUCUCACCUAGUGUGCGAGUGUAAAUUGGCGGGUUGGGAAGUUCUCGGGUUAGACGUGUGUGCAAGUCCCUUGGAACAGGGUGCCACUGAGGGUGAAGCCCCGUAUCGUGCAUGUCGACACCUGUGAGGCCCUUCUGACGAGUCGAGUU